UACGAAGGGGGCUAGCGUUGCUCGGAAUCACUGGGCGUAAAGCGCACGUAGGCGGAUCUUUAAGUCAGGGGUGAAAUCCCAAGGCUCAACCUUGGAACUGCCUUUGAUACUGAGGAUCUCGAGUCCGGAAGAGGUUGGUGGAACUGCGAGUGUAGAGGUGAAAUUCGUAGAUAUUCGCAAGAACACCAGUGGCGAAGGCGGCCAACUGGUCCGGAACUGACGCUGAGGUGCGAAAGCGUGGGGAGCAAACAGG
rnacentral:rRNA from 1 species